GCAGCAAGAUAUCCCCAGUUCCUUUCCUGUCGUGCUCCUACUUCUCCUGCCUCUCCACAUUUCCGUGCUGCCGGCCACUCUGAUUCAGGCUUCUCAAGCUGCUAUGCUAGCCCCAACACCAAUCUGAGCAAACACACCACUGGCUUGACCACUGGGCAUCACAGCCUCAAACCUGCAGGCUACAGCACCCCUUCUGGAGCAGCCCUGGAACCACCAAAUUGCUUACAGGAAGCUUCCAGGAUUUCCAAAAAUUGUGGAUUGAUCACUGAAGCCGCCAUGUGGUUAGGCAAAGACAAACAUCUGGAUGGAGUACUCUUCCUUGCUCCUGCGUGAGCAAGUGGGGAAUGUGUGGAUCUGGGGGAGGGAAGAAAUUUGUUUGGAGGUUGGAGACUGAGUUCUUGGGAGAACCCCCCACCCCCGUCUGCUGCAUCCAUUGGUUGGAUGAUGGUCAGUUCCAAUGGUUGGUAAACCUUUGAAGCCUGCCUCCCACUGGAAUGUCAAUCCCAUUGUCAUUGGGAGUUGUGUUGCUUGGGCUAAGAUUUCUGGAUACCCCUGAAGGAGGCAUUAUUCCUAAAGGAUGGCUGGGCCUUUUCCUUCAACUUUGCCUGACUGGGACAGUUGUGAAAGGGGGAUCUGAGUGUCUGAAAGGAAGAACUGGACUGUUUGUUGGCACUCAUUCUCCCUUGGAAGAAGAUGGCAUGGCCUUUUUGUCUUUAGUCUCAAGCAGAACCGGGUCCAAACUUGCACCAAAUAAUUUAUCACCUUUGAAGGGUGUGGCAGUCAAGUUGGGAUGAGACUUCUGGUAGAUUUUCCAACUCUUGAAGCAUAAGUGUCUCCUGCUAAUCACAUAUGAUGCCGGGGCUCUGGCAGAAGACUGCAUGGAAUUCAGCUGUGUUUGCUGUGAAGGCAAUAGCUUUUAUCCAGUUUGUUCAACCCUUGCCUAAGUUUGGAGUUAUCUGGAGGAACCCUUGUAAAAAUUCCUUAACCUAUGACACGAAUGUCAGAGUAGAUAUGAGGCCAUGGAGGCUCACAGGGCCAAGGUCUCAAGUGACUUCUUCAAAAUGGCAUCACACCUUUUGUCACCUGUCCCCAUCCUAGAGCAGUACCUGGCCUUUAACCAAGGCAGCCAUGGGCAUUUCAACUGAAGGAACACUCAGCAUGUCCAUGAUCUCCUUAGGUAACAGUUAAAAAUACUUCUUGGUAGCUGACAAGACCCUGCCCUUGGAAAGAUUAGUAAUAGGUUGGGAAGGUGGAAAAACCUCAUUACCCUCUAGUUCUCUGGGUAGAGAGUGCCCUUGCCAUUCUAGAUUCAGGAUCCUGCAGGCCUUGCAGAGUAACCUAGCAAAAUCUCCUUGGGGAGGGGAAGCCUGUGAGAAGCAGAAUGUGCUUGGCUGCCUCCUCCUCUCAUAGUUCAUCCUCUUCCUUGUCUGAAGAGGAGAGAUUCCAAGUCCUCCUUGGGAUGGGAGAGAUCAAUAAGAUCUGGCUGGAAUUCCACCCUAGGGGCUGGGUAAUCCUUAGAAGAUAGGAAUGGGCCCCUGGGGGUUGAGGAAAAAGGUUGAGGAAAGAGAAUGGGUGCCUCUGGGCAGUCUAGAUGGUUUGGGUGAUCCCUGAUCAGGGCCCUCAGAGGAGUGAACAGAAGCUACUCUCUUUAGUGGCCCCUCUAUCUGCAGAGGUUGGUACAGCAGAGUCAGAGCUCUGACGCUUCUGUAAUAGAGUUUUCUCACCUUUUGGAAUAUGCUCCUGGGUUGGAAAGGAAAAGGUCAUUUACUCCCUUCUGAAGCUUCUCAAAGACCAGCUCCUUGAGCCAGACUAGAGUAUAUUCAGGCAUUUCCUCAUUUCCCCACUGGCUCUGAGCUCCUUGAACACUGGGGCCAUUUGGGGCUACCAAGACUCACCACAUCCAUCUGGGCAGCUUAUGCUGGCUGCUGGGAAUUUUAUCGCCCUCCUCCAAGUCUUCAGGAAUGAUUGCAGCAUAAACUGAACUCCCAGCACUGCCUGCUGUGUAUGCAGCCAAA